GGGCCGUUAGCUCAAUUGGUAGAGCAACUGACUCUUAAUCAGUAGGUCCUCGGUUCGAUCCCGAGACGGCCCACCA
rnacentral:tRNA from 4 species